UUGGAGGGCAAGUCUGGUGCCAGCAGCCGCGGUAAUUCCAGCUCCAAUAGCGUAUAUUAAAGUUGUUGCAGUUAAAAAGCUCGUAGUUGAAUUUCGAGAUCAGUACGCUGGUCGUGCCUUCGGUAUGCACUGGUGUCACUGGUUUCUCCCUUCUGAAGAACCGUCAUGCCAUUCAGUUGGUGUGGCGGGGAAUCAGGACUGUUACUUUGAAAAAAUUAGAGUGUUUAAAGCAGGCUCGCGCUUGAAUACAUUAGCAUGGAAUAAUGAAAUAGGACGUUUGACCCUAUUUUGUUGGUUUCUAGGAUCGACGUAAUGAUUAAUAGGGAUAGUUGGGGGCAUUAGUAUUCAAUUGUCAGAGGUGAAAUUCUUGGAUUUAUUGAAGACUAACUACUGCGAAAGCAUUUGCCAAGGAUGUUUUCAUUAAUCAAGAACGAAAGUUAGGGGAUCGAAGACGAUCAGAUACCGUCGUAGUCUUAACCAUAAACUAUGCCGACUAGGGAUCGGAUGAUGUAAUUUUUUAAUGACUCA
rnacentral:rRNA from 1 species